rnacentral:lncRNA from 1 species
CCGCUUCCUGCUUCUUGAGCUCUACAAAGCAAAGAACUUAGGCCACAGCCAACUACAGUUGGACACACCCAGAGUAGUCAAAAUGCUUACCUUGAUACUUCUUGUUCAAGGACUUGUAGCGGCUCUCCAGUUUUUCCUGCAGAACCGCGUGAUCCGCGCGUUCCAUGGCAAAGGACUUCACCUCGACUUCAUGAACCCGCAGAGCUUCUGUCAGUCGGGCACAUUCCUGCUCCAACUGAUGGCUUCUUUCCUGAAAAAAAUCCAAGUAUGGUGUGGUGAGUUUCAAGCCUCACAACUACUCGGGACAUGCAACAAACUCAACAAGGAAAUCUACCUGGAAGCCCCGAAAAACAUCGAUGGCUCUCUGGAACUCCAAGUCAGAAGGCAGG